rnacentral:lncRNA from 1 species
CACAGAGAGGCAGAGGGAGAAGCAGGCUCCCUGUGGGGAUCCUGAUGUGGGACUCGAUCCCAGGACCCCGGGGUCACACCUGGGCUGAAGGAAGAUGCUCAAUCGCUGAGCCACCCAGGCGUCCCUCAAAUUUGUAUGAAAAUAGGCAAAACAAUUUUGAUGAAGAAAAAGUUGAUCUUUCUCUACCUUAUUUAUUUCACUUAGACUAAUACCCUCUAGAUCCUACCAUGUGAUUUCACUUACAUGGUUAUCUAAAACAAACAAACAAACAAAAACAAAAAACAAAUGAACAAACAAACAAACAAAAGAAACAAAUGCUUAAAUACAAAGAAAAAACUGAUGGUUGCCCGAGGUGGGGAUGGUGAAGGGACGAGUGAAAUGGGUGAAGGGGAUUAAGGGGGACAAACUUCCAGUCAAACACGUCACAGAAAUGAAACGUACAGCAGAGGGAAUGCAGUCAAUAAAACUGUCAUAAUACUGCAUGGUGACAGAUGCUGCUUACAUUUAUCGUGGUGAACGCUGCAUAAUGGACAGAACUGUCUCAUCACUACAUUGUCCAUCUGAAACUAACAUUGUAGUCAACUAUACUUCAAUACUAAAAAUUUUUAAAAGAGAAAUAAAAUUGAGAGACUGUUCCUGCAUCUAAAGCUUAAUAUUUAACUACGGUCAUCAUUUACCUGAAUUUCUAGUAUAAAGCUAAGAUCAAUUCAUGAUGAAAAAUUUAGAAGAUGGUUCAGUGGUUGCUUGGAUUGGGGAAGGAAUUGAUGAGUUAAGUAUCCCAGGAAACUUUCUCUGGUGAUGUAAAUAUGUUCUAUCUUAUAAGGGGUACAGAUUCCACCAGCGUAUGCAUUUUUGAAACUCAUCAAUUUGUAUACUCCUCUAAAUUCCACUCUGUGUGAAUGUUUCCUUAGAGAUCUGUAAACAACGGUGAAUUCCAGGCUUGUGUAUUUGCUCUUUAGUGGGCUACGGAUUAGCCCACUAAUUCUGAAACGACUCCGUGUUCAAAGCUUGCAUAAAUGAGAAAAUGAAUUGAAGUAUAAUGGAAGCCAGGUUUCUCACUCUUGGAGAAGUUAGUUUGAAAUAGAGAAAGGACAAGAACAUACUCUGUGGCUUUGGUUUAGAAUCAGGGGCGUCAAUAUCAGUGUGAAUUCAUGGUUUGAUAAGAGACAUAUAAAUAUGUGGGUUUAUAAAAAUAGGAUUAUAAUAAGGAUACCUAAUUUCCUAACUCUAGGCUUGUUUCUAAAUACUAUUUUCCAUUAAAAAGGAAACUAGUGGUCCUGGGACUAAUAGCUAAUUCCAGAAAAAUGGGAUAGGAAAAAUAUGAGCCUGGAAUAUCUUGCUUCAAGAAAAUAAGGAAGUACUCAAAGAAUGAUGAAAACGCAUCAAAAGGAGCCAGCUUAAAGGAGCUCUCAGUGGCUCAAUCUGGGAUGGUUCUGAGCAGUGAUCCAGGGGCUGUGGACCCUAAUGAGGCGGGUAGAGAUAGCCCCCAACUCAAAUACAUAUUAUUAUAAUUAUAUAGGAGUCCUCACCUCCUAUAUACAUAGGUUAUGGAGUCCCAGUUGACUUUGUUAUAUUACUGUCCAAUUUGUAUCUACUUAUAACCAUUUUCAAGUAGUGGCCCAAUUCCCUGAAGGGGAAUUUUUGCAUGAGCAGUAUCGCCAAACCCUUUUGGAAAAAAAGCAGUGGAUUGUGUGGAAGAGCUUAGAAGAACUAAGACAGCUUCAUUGGUGGUGAGAAAGUGGGCGGUUGCUCCAAGAAUAGCACCCAGACUGGAAGCCAUGAAUGAAGAAACACCAAACAACUGUUUUUUACAGAAUGAAAGGGAAAACUAUGUAGGUGGGAGGAGAGCAGCAAUGUAAAGGCAAUUAGUUCUAAUUCAAAGCGGAAAAGAGAGGAAAGCAAUUACGGUCAAUCGUAAAGCGAGAAAGCAGAGCGCACGCGUCCGAACCACAAAGUACUCCUAUGACAUUAAACCACAUCCCGCAUUGCUCCCCCAAAUCAUUCAGUACUCAUUGCAUCCUUGUUCCCUUCUCCACCUGGUCACCCCCACCUAUCUGCCUAAUCUUAGUCAACAAAUAUAUAACAAUAAGAUACCUGGAAAGAUUUUUUUUCUUUACAGGGGUUAUAGCUAUCAUCCAGGCUCUGCAGUUCUCCUCUAGCUCUUCCUCUUGAUCUAGAGUUUCAAGAGAGGGAGGACAAGACAUGGAUCCAGCCAACUACCCUCUCUUCGAAAUCUCUGCUCAGAGCCACAGACCUUAGUCUCCAGCUCCCCCUUUACUAAUCACUCCGCGACGCUCCUGGGAAGUCAUAGUGAAUUACUGUUUAUAAAAAAUAUUCAUGAAUGAGCUAAAAAAAAAAAAAAAAACUAUUCUCGUACAAGGUAUCCUAAAUACUCUUUCUAAAAAAUAUUAUUUUAGAUGAUUCUCUAUCAUUUUAUUCUUGAAAGUCUAAAAAGCAACUUAAAGUUAAAUUGUAUUUCUAUGUUACGAGGCAACCGCUAUAAUGAAGUAGAGAGUGCUGAAUAACAAAAGGCAGAACCAAGUACAAUUAUUCAUCACAGGAAGAAAAAGGCAUAUGAAAUAAACUAAAAACAAUUCGACUGUUCUUUUCUGGCCCAUUUGUCAUUUCUGUGGUUGUCUAGCACCUGUAACUCCUUCCUAUGUUUAGA